UGCUUCCAGAUCCCUUAUCUGUCAAAUCUAAACAGUGGUUUAAGUGGCUUUAAAAAAUGGAGGUGUAAAACUAACAUUGAAAUGGACUGGAGUCUUUAGUGGCCAACAAGUUCACCUCAAAAAGAU
rnacentral:snoRNA from 1 species